GAUGAACGCUGGCGGCGUGCCUAAUACAUGCAAGUCGAGCGAACAGACGAGGAGCUUGCUCCUCUGACGUUAGCGGAGGACGGGUGAGUAACACGUGGAUAACCUACCUAUAAGACUGGGAUAACUUCGGGAAACCGGAGCUAAUACCGGAUAACAUGUUGAACCGCAUGGUUCAACAGUGAAAGACGGUCUUGCUGUCACUUAUAGAUGGAUCCGCGCCGCAUUAGCUAGUUGGUAAGGUAACGGCUUACCAAGGCAACGAUGCGUAGCCGACCUGAGAGGGUGAUAGGCCACACUGGAACUGAGACACGGUCCAGACUCCUACGGGAUGCAGCAGUAGGGAAUCUUCCGCAAUGGGCGAAAGCCUGACGGAGCAACGCCGCGUGAGUGAAGAAGGUCUUCGGAUCGUAAAACUCUGUUAUUAGGGAAGAACAAAUGUUUAAGUAACUAUGCACGUCUUGACGGUACCUAAUCAGAAAGCCACGGCUAACUACGUG
rnacentral:rRNA from 1 species